ensembl:lncRNA
GUCACGUUAAAACAAGGCGCUGCUUCCAAGCUCGUGUCCCAGGGAAGAGGCAGACAGCUGGGAUGAAGCUCUUCCUUGCACCUUCUAGCUGCUCAACUUGGUGACAGUUAGAUCACUUUGCAGGGCCUUCAUGGGAAUGAGAUGAGACUGCGUGAAGCUGCCCAGGGCGAUGCCCAGCGCAAGGAGGACCGAACCAAGAGGACCUGUGCUCAGCAAACCUUACACAUGCAGCGACCCUCACAUACCUGGCUGGGAAAUACCAUGACGCUGUGCACUGUGAUGAGAGUCCCAUCGGCAGAUGAGUGGUGUACAGCAUGAAGCUG